GUGAUGUAAGUGGCCAGGCCCGAUCUGUGAGGACUACAGCCCGGUUGGCUGA
rnacentral:snoRNA from 1 species